CAAAUAGAUAUUAUGAGAAAGUGGUGCUUUAUCAAAAUAAAAUUACUCUUUUCAAUUCAAGAAAAAGAGAAAUUAAAAACAACGUUUGGGGGCAUGAAGAAAGGCAGACACCCUACCUCAAAGGACCUUUCCAGCGGUGAUACAAAUUACUCAUUUUCUUGGACUUGAUACAAAAAGGUGUCAGAACAAAAGGAGAAAUGCGAUCAAAGAGCAAAGCACAUUACUCAUCAUCUGCCAGCCUUGAAGUAACUGGGGAUUCUGAUCAUCCCUCAUCCCCAAGAGCCUUGUAGGAGGUGCGGGUAACCAGACUAUCACAUGCUUCGAUGUUCUCAUUCACAGACUCACCUUCCUUUGUGGGGUCCUGCAAGAGUUCUCAGUGGUGGUACUGUGAAUCUCAAUCCAUUGCAGAGUGCCUGUAGUUAUCUGUUGCUAAUAAAGUACUGAACUUUUCAAAUGACUUACUUUAAAAAGCUGAUUCACUAUUAUUUCUAAAAUACAAAAGGCCAAUAAAGUCCAGACUUCAGCUUGCGGGGACUGCUGCUGUCCCUGGUGCUGAAUAAGGGGCAGUCUGGAAUACAACAGAAGGAAUACAUUACUAUAGAGGGUGCCCUCCGGGUUAGAAUCUGGUAAGGGCCCUAUUCCCGGCUUGAAGAUGGCAAGUUUUUCAUCAUGUCCUUUCAGGGCUUUCUGUGUGCCCUCCAAGAGAGGGUAUUCUCGUAUCUUCUUCUGUCCUUAUAAAGAAGUCAGUCUUACCAGAUUAGGCUCUACACCAUGACUUUCUUUAAUCUUAAUUACCCCCCAAAAGGACACAUCUCCAAAUACUGUCGCAUUGGAGAUUAGGGACUGAACACAUAAAGUCUGAGAGGGACACAAUUAAGUUCACAAGACACAUUAAGUGAGAGAACCAAAGAGAGGCCUGCUCCCACUCACUCUGCUAUGAAUAAUUUAAGUGAAAGUGGAUUGAGAAUUACUGUUUCAGGCAAAAAGCUGUUUAAAAGCAUAUUAUUUCAUUAUUACAGAAUCAUCUACCCACUCAAAAAGAGCUUCACUGAGGCUUAGACCUCCUUUCUGUGAAAAAUCAUGUCUGCUCACUGCCACUGUGCAUCCAACUGGU
rnacentral:lncRNA from 1 species